UACGAAGGGGGCUAGCGUUGCUCGGAAUCACUGGGCGUAAAGGGCGCGUAGGUGGCGAUCCAAGUCCAUGGUGAAAGCUCGAUGCUCAACAUCGAGUCGGCCACGGAUACUGGGUUGCUUGAGCACUGUAGGGGCAGAUGGAAUUCCGGGUGUAGCGGUGGAAUGCGUAGAGAUCCGGAAGAACACCGGUGGCGAAGGCGGUCUGCUGGGCAGUUGCUGACACUGAGGCGCGACAGCGUGGGAGCAACAGG
rnacentral:rRNA from 1 species